CAGUAGCGUAUAUUAAAGUUGUUGCAGUUAAAAUGCUCGUAGUUGAAGUUCGGAUGCAGCAGAGCUUGGAAACGCUGUUAUGGUGCUUCCGUUGCUUUUGCUUGUCCACAGUGCGUUGCAAGUACGUAUGUGCUUGUGCGUGCAUUUUACUUUGAGAAACAUAGGGUGUUCCACGCAUGUUACGGCAUGAAUAUUCCAGCAUGGGAUAAUCUGGUACGACUUCCAAUCUGCCAUUUUGGUUCGUAGGUUGGAAGUAAUGAUUAAUAGGGACUGUCGGGGGCAUUGGUAUUUGACUGUCAGAGGUGAAAUUCUUGGAUUUAUAGAAGACGAACUACUGCGAAAGCAUUUACCAAGGAUGUUUUCAUUAA
rnacentral:rRNA from 1 species